CAAUAGCGUAUAUUUAAGUUGCUGCAGUUAAAAAGCUCGUAGUUGGAUUUCGGGUGGGAAUGGCCGGUCCGCCGUUUCGGUGUGCACUUGCUACGCCCACCUUGCUGACGGGGACGUGCUCUUGAGUUCACGCUCGGGACACGGAGUCGGCGAGGUUACUUUGAGUAAAUUAGAGUGUUCAAAGCAGGCCUACGCUCUGAAUACAUUAGCAUGGAAUAACACGAUAGGACUCUGGCCUAUCUUGUUGGUCUGUAGGACCGGAGUAAUGAUUAAGAGGGACAGUCGGGGGCAUUCGUAUUUCAUUGUCAGAGGUGAAAUUCUUGGAUUUAUGAAAGACGAACUACUGCGAAAGCAUUUGCCAAGGAUGUUUUCAUUAA
rnacentral:rRNA from 1 species